rnacentral:rRNA from 1 species
UACGGAGGAUGCAAGCGUUAUCCGGAAUGAUUGGGCGUAAAGCGUCCGCAGGUGGCUACGUAAGUCUGCUGUUAAAGAGUGAGGCUCAACCUCAUAAGAGCAGUGGAAACUACAUGGCUAGAGUGCGUUCGGGGCAGAGGGAAUUCCUGGUGUAGCGGUGAAAUGCGUAGAGAUCAGGAAGAACACCGGUGGCGAAAGCGCUCUGCUAGGCCGCAACUGACACUGAGGGACGAAAGCUAGGGGAGCGAAUGGG